UUCAAUGAGAAUGACCGAAAAGUUGUAAAUUUUGGAAAUUUCUGAGGACACUUGACCCUAAAACGAAUUAGUUAGAAAAUGUUAAGCCCCAAUGGACCUAAGUCUAUUGGGCGAAGUGUUCGGGUAAAAGGCACAUUAAUCAAGGACUUUACAAUUUUGUACAUUUUUAACAAUAAGGUUUAAUUAUGAGUACAUAAAUACAAAGUUAACAUAUUCUAAUGACAUGAGAAGGAACAUAAAUACAAUUCUGGGUUUUAGAGACAAAGGAUCGAAGAAAUUACUUAAAUAUCAAGAUACAGCAAUUCACAUACCGACAAUAAUAUUCUUCGGACGUUCCUUGAAGUUUCCUUUAUAAAUCUGACGUGGUAUUUCUCAUACCAUAGACGUGUUCACCUCGAUGGGUCCGGAUUCUAUUCACUAUUCAAUUGAAUGUCCGCAUGUGUAGUUUUCCUUCUCCUUUGUUCUUUCACCACAGUCUAUUUUUGUCGCACAACUGGUUGGGACCAAAGGAAGAACCAAAAAGUACCUGGUGGACGGGAGUCCAACAUUUAUAAUCCCCGCCAUUGCGCGUGACGUCAUGUCCGUUGCUAACCAAUC